AGAGUUUGAUCAUGGCUCAGAAUCAACGCUGGCGGCGCGCUUAACACAUGCAAGUCGCACGAGAAAGUGGGAAACCAUGAGUACAGUGGCGUACGGGUGAGUAACACGUGGGUAAUCUACCUCUGAGUGGGGAAUAACCCUGGGAAACCGGGGCUAAUACCGCAUAAUCUCGAGAGAGGAAAGCAGCAAUGCGCUGAGAGAGGAGCCCGCGGCCGAUUAGCUAGUUGGUAGGGUAAGAGCCUACCAAGGCAGAGAUCGGUAGCCGGCCUGAGAGGGCACACGGCCACACUGGCACUGAAACACGGGCCAGACUCCUACGGGAGGCAGCAGUGGGGAAUCUUGCACAAUGGGGGAAACCCUGAUGCAGCGACGCCGCGUGAGCGAUGAAGCCCUUCGGGGUGUAAAGCUCUUUCGUCAGGGAAGAUCAUGACGGUACCUGGAGAAGCAGCUGCGGCUAACUACGUGCCAGCAGCCGCGGUAAUACGUAGGCAGCGAGCGUUGUUCGGAGUUACUGGGCGUAAAGGGUGUGUAGGCGGUUCUUUAAGUUUGGUGUGAAAUCUCCCGGCUCAACCGGGAGGGUGCGCCGAAUACUGAGGGACUUGGAGUGCGGGAGAGGAAAGUGGAAUUCCUGGUGUAGCGGUGAAAUGCGUAGAUAUCAGGAGGAACACCGGUGGUGUAGACGGCUUUCUGGACCGUAACUGACGCUGAGACACGAAAGCGUGGGUAGCAAACAGGAUUAGAUACCCUGGUAGUCCACGCCCUAAACGAUGCAUAUUUGGUGUGGGUCAUUCAGUUGAUCCGUGCCGGAGCUAACGCGUUAAAUAUGCCGCCUGGGGAGUACAGUCGCAAGGCUGAACUCAAAGGAAUUGACGGGGCCCGCACAAGCGGUGGAGCAUGUGGUUCAAUUCGACGCAACGCGAAGAACCUUACCUGGGCUCGAACGGCUGGUCAACGGAAGGUGGAAACAUCUUUAACC
rnacentral:rRNA from 1 species